rnacentral:rRNA from 1 species
GACGAACGCUGGCGGCGUGCCUAACACAUGCAAGUAGAACGCAGUUGCGAACGGGAGAGUAACGCGUAGGUAACUGCCUGGUAGCGGGGGCUAACAACUGGAAACGAUAGCUAAUACCGCAUACUACCAGAUGGACCUGCGUUGUAUUAGCUAGGUGGUGAGGUAACGGCCCACCAAGGCAACGAUACAUAGCCGGGCUGGGAGGGUGAACGGCCACAAUGGGACUUGGACACGGCCCAGACUCCUACGGGGAGCAGCAGUAGGGGAUCUUCGGCAAUUGGGGGAACCCUGACCAAGCAACGCCGCGUGAGUGAAGAAGGUUUUCGGGUCGUAAAGCUCUGUUGAUAGGGAAGCGGUACUUAACCAGAAAGGGACGGCUAACUACGUGCCAGCCGCCGCGGUAAUAC